rnacentral:rRNA from 1 species
CCUACGGGGAGCAGCAGUGGGGAAUAUUGGGCAAUGGGCGAAAGCCUGACCCAGCAACGCCGCGUGAAGGAAGAAGGCUUUCGGGUUGUAAACUUCUUUUGACAGGGAAGAGCAGAAGACGGUACCUGUCGAAUAAGCCACGGCUAACUACGUGCCAGCAGCCGCGGUAAUACGUAGGUGGCAAGCGUUGUCCGGAUUUACUGGGGGUAAAGGGCGUGUAGCCGGGCUGACAAGGCAGAUGUGAAAUCCGGGGGCUCAACCCCCGAACUGCAUUUGAAACUGUUGGUCUUGAGUAUCGGAGAGGCAGGCGGAAGUCCUAGUGUAGCGGUGAAAUGCGUAGAUAUUAGGAGGAACACCAGUGGCGAAGGCGGCCUGCUGGACGACAACUGACGGUGAGGCGCGAAAGCGUGGGGAGCAAACAGGAUUAGAUACCCCGGUAGUC